GAAAUGGGUGGGGAAUACCAGGUGACAGGGAUGAGGAGAUUGCAAGGCAUGUGAGUGGCCAGAUCUGAAAUGACUGGAGAUGGUGACAAGACAUGAAAGCAAAACCAGAUGAAAACAAACUAGAAUUCGGGGGUAUUACAUGACAUUACAUAUAUUACAUGACAUAGCUUGGAUAAUGGAUACAAAAUUAGUUGAACCUACGGAAUCUUAUAUGUUCAACCAUUAAAUUCAAAUGGAAUUUAUUUUAAACAAACUUUUUUUAUUUCAGCUUUAGUGUCUCAUAUGUAAUGAUAUCCAUUGUUAUUGUUAUUGUUAAUGUUGUUAUCAUCAUCACCUUUGUGUGCAGCUUCUUCUACUGGGUAUACACAGAACUUAUACAAUAUAGUUCGAAAAGUACACAACGUGUAAAUGUUUCGACCCCCCCCCCAAACUGUUACUUUAGCCUUCUUUAGGAGCCCCCCCAAAGAAAAAAACAACCCUCCUGUAAUUCGCACCAUGCCUGCUGGCAGAGCCAGUAGGUUCACCACAGACUGCUACGGGUUUGGUUUGGCACAAGUGGCUCUCCGACACCCACACAUGUCAGACGCCAAACCCCAGAGACGCGCUCCGACAUGAGCAGAAAGGGCAGAAAAGGGCAGAGUGGCGUCUGAAUUACGCCCCUUUUCCUGUCUUUUAUUUUUCCUUUUGGUAACUUUAUUUUUUUUCUGGCCUUCUUUUCUUUCCUGUUUAAAAUAUACAGAGAACACAACACACUUAAUGAUUUUGUUUGGUUGUAGACACACAUUUUGGAUAGCAUGUAGUUAUCAUGUAGAUAACAUGAAGUUUUUCUAUUUUGUUCGAGAUUAUUUGGAAUGAGUACUUGGGGGAAUGGGAGUCAGCCAGAAUGCAGCCUAAAUUCUGCCGAAAUUAAGCACCGGACGGAGUUCCCCACGGUUAUUCAAAGGCGUCUGCUUGCUUGCGUCAGUAACCAUCUUGCCAAAGCCACCGGCUCGUGCCAAAACCGCACUCAGGGAGUACAAACGUUGCUAUCUAUUUGCUAUAUUAACCGAUCUCGUUUGUUUUUCUUGUAGAAACAGUGCUCUGCCAUCCCUUCCCAGAUCUGAUAGAUUAUGCUGUUGAAGAUGAC
ensembl:lncRNA